CCAAUAGCUGGUGUGCAGUUGUAGAUGCUCAGGGGAAGCAUAAAGGCAUUGCUGGAAUUAUUACAGCUGAUUUUGCCCCAGGCACAGUUCACUGGGGAGCUGGUACCUGGGGUUCCACUGUUAUCCCUGUCACUGGUAAGCUUCAUUGAGGCCAAUGGAAAUAACUCUUCAAUAGCCACAAUUCCAAUUGCCUGCCCAUUGUAUGAACUGCCUUCCCAAACAUGA
rnacentral:lncRNA from 1 species